UACAGAGGGUGCGAGCGUUAAUCGGAAUUACUGGGCGUAAAGCGCGCGUAGGCGGCUUUGCAAGCCGGAUGUGAAAUCCCCGGGCUUUAACCUGGGAACUGCAUUCGGGACUGCAUUGCUAGAGUAUGGGAGAGGGAAGUGGAAUUUCAGGUGUAGCGGUGAAAUGCGUAGAUAUCUGAAGGAACAUCAGUGGCGAAAGCGACUUCCUGGACCAAUACUGACGCUCAUGUGCGAAAGCGUGGGGAGCAAACAGG
rnacentral:rRNA from 1 species